GCCAGUUUAGCUCAGUUGGUAGAGCAACGCAUUCGUAAUGCGUGGGUCGGGUGUUCGAGUCUCCUAACUGGCACCA
rnacentral:tRNA from 1 species